rnacentral:lncRNA from 1 species
AUUAAGUUUACGAAAGGGAAUUUAGACACAGGAAUAUAUAAAAUUUUUAGAGUAGGAUAAGAUUUAGGGCUUGUUUGGUUCAUCCAUUUUGGGUAUGGAAUGAAAAUCGGUUUGAUCAAAUUCGGUUAAUUUUGUUUGGUUCGCAUGAAUCGAUUUGGGAUUCCUAUUACGGACUGGAAUGGGAAUAGCCCAUUAGACUUUAAUUUGAUUCCGGUCUUCUAGUCCGGAUUGAGAUUUUAUUCCGAAAGCCCACUAAAUUCUCGAAGUCUAUGUGACCAUCUCACCUUCCUUCUCUUCACCCCUUUCUCAUCAAAAAAAAAAAAAAAAACCUAUCAUCUCUCAAAACCCUAUCCCUAACCCACUUCAAUAAAAAUUUUUAAAAAUAAAUUUGAUAUUUUUUUUGAAAAACUUAUUAGAGAAUAAUAUUAUAUUUUUCAUAAAUUUUAAAUAAUAUAAAUUUAUAUUUGAGAGUAAAAUUAGUAUUAUAGUAUCCNGGAUGGUGGGUGGGGUUUGAUUUGGAUCCUGUCCACUUCGAGUUAAAUCCCCGCUUUGUGAUCUUAUCUUAUAAUAUUUUAGUGGGUGCGGAUCCUGUGGGAUUGGUAUCGGCACCAUCCGAAGCGCCCCCACAUGCAUCAUCCCAUCCUGUUGUCCCCCAAUUGCAACCCUAUUUGUACAUUCAAAAGCGAGUUACAUUUAACAUAUUAUCCAUCUAAAAGUUAAUUUCUGCAUGCUAGUAUUAUCACUUUAAUUCUUUUAGUACUUAUACUUUAAGGGCUUGUUUGGUUCAUCCAUUUUGGAUAUAGAAUGGGAAUCGAUUUGAUCAAAUCCGGUUAAUUUUGUUUGGUUCGCAUGAAUCGGUUUGGGAUUUCUAUUCUAGACUGGAAUGGGAAUGACACAUUAGCCUUCAACUUGAUUCCGGUCUUCUAGUCCGGAUUGAGAUUCCAUUCCGAAAGCCCACUAAGUUCUCGAAAUCUAUGUGACCAUCUCACCCUCCUUCUCUUCACCCCUUUCUCAUCAAAAAAGAAAAAAAACCUAUCAUCUUUCAAAACCCUAUCCCUAACCCACAUCAAUAAAAGUUUUUAAAAAUAAAUUUGAUAUUUUUUUUGGAAAACUUAUUAGAGAAUAAUAUUAUAUUUUUCAUAAAUUUUAAAUAAUAUAAAUUUAUAUUUGAGAGUAAAAUUAGUAUUAUAGUAUCCUACAAUUUUUUUAGUUUAUACGAACCAAACAAUGAAAUGUGAAUAACUCAUUCCAAUUCCCAAUCUACAAAUAAACCAAACGUCUUGGGGGAGUAAGCCAUUCCAAUUACCAUUCCAAUUCAUUCCCAUUCCAUUAUCCAUUCCAAUUCCACCCUUGAACCAAACAAGCCCUUAGGGUGCGUUUGGUUCGAGUUAUCUUGGCAGAAUUACAGGCAAUCCUGCCAGGAUAACUAUAUUUGGUUAAUCUGCUAUGUAAUCUAGUCGUUAAUGUAGCAUUACAAAUCGAGCAGGAUUACAUCGAAAAUAUUAACGAGAGGGGGGUCGUGAAUCUUGCAUUACUGAAACCCGUUAAUACUAUAUAUUAUGUAAAAUGACAAUUUCACCCUCCAACAACCCCAAAUCUAAUUAACAGCAUUAUUUUCAUCUCUCUCUCGCCUUCCCCCCUCUCUCUCGCACGCCGCUUUCUCUCGCUCUCUCUCUCUCUCUCGACGUCUCUCUCUCUAUCUCUCUCUCUCUCGCACGAACACCUAUCAUCUUCUUGCGUCGUCCUCCCAGGUAAUCAUCACAAUCUCCUUCUCUCCAUUCGUCAUUUCUGCAAAAAAUAAUAUUCAAAUGACCACAACAAGGGCAAUUUUAGAAAAAACUAUACUUUUAUGUCAGAAUUACUAAAUUUUAUAAACUGAACCAAACGUAUUAAUGCUAUAAACACCGUAAUCUAUUAUUACAUUACUGCAUUAAACCAAACGCGCUAAUGCAGCAUCAGUAGUAAUCUCACGCCGAAAUCUAAGAUACCUGGAUAUGUCGAGAUACUUUGUAAUAUUAUAUAACUCGAACCAAACGGGCCCUUAAGUUAAUCGAAAAAUUCUUCUUUUUCACCUCCAUCUGCUAUACGAAAUAAAUCAUCUAUUACUC